rnacentral:tRNA from 1 species
GGCUCCGUAGCUUAGCUGAAUAGAGCGUCAGAUUCCGGUUCUGAAGGUCCAGGGUUUGAAUCCCUGCGGAGUCA